rnacentral:rRNA from 1 species
AUGGGUACCCGCCGACUGCGCCGCCGGGGCCCGACAAGCGCCAGGAUGUGGGCGGCGGGCGCGACCAUGAGCGCCACGCUGCUCGCCCUCCCGAACGCGGCCCGCGCGCAUGGUGCCGGGCGCCGCCCUGGUAGUACAUCCCGCGCAGGAGGAGCUCCAAUUUAUACGAACAGCUUCUGCCGGCCGCCGCCUCCCUCCCGCGGGCCACAACCUCGCCCCCUCCUCCCGCGGACCGCAUCCUCGCAGCCGCAGUCGCCGUCGCCUCCUCCCGCGGGCCACAGCCUCGCCGUCUCCUCCCGCGGGCCGCAUCCUCGCAGCCGACAGUAUGCAAUGACUUGCACCCUCAGGCUUUCUAGUUGUAGAAGAGUACCUAUUUAG